GGGGGCGACCUGGGUUCGACGGGGACAGUUGAACCUUGUGGGCGCGUGCCGGGCGCCGCGAGCCCGUAUCUGGCGGAAAACAAACAAACGGCAAUUCUAACGAAUUCGCUCUCGCGGCUUAAUUGACCGCGACGUCUGACCAUCCGCUCCUGCCGGGAUGGACCCAGGCGUCAUUUAGGUGGGACGGUUCAUGACAGGGAAAGCCCCGCGCCAGUCAUGCGCUGUAUAAAAGAAGGGACUAGCCGAGAAACAGGGUGUCCAUGCUCGGUUUCGAGGCGAAAUUAAACCAUGGAAUACGCACGUAGGGCCCCUGGGCGAAGGUCUUCGGACGCGGGUUCGAUUCCCGCCGCCUCCACCA
rnacentral:tmRNA from 1 species